CUCGGUUGUCCUGCCAUAAGUAGUAGAAAGUGCCCAGGAUCCAGGCUACGGUCAGGAUGGCGAUGGCAUUGGCGCGGAUCUUCCUCAUGGAAUGGACUCCAGCAGCAUCACAGAAUCAAAGCAACACCUAAGGAAUUCACUGUUUCUUCACAUACUUUGAACUGUGAAAACAAGAGUCAUCAUAAUAGCUGCAGUUUACUCAGUACCUACCAGGUACUGUCACCUAUACUGUCUCUAAAGCCCCUACAACCCUGAGCUAAGGAUGAUCAUAUCCCCAACUGCAGAUGAUGACACUGAAGCUCAACGGCUACUCAACUUGCCUGGAAUCCUACAGCAAAAACUGUUAUGAAUGUACUCCACCAAGGCAAGAAAGGAAGAAGACAUGGAAUUUAAAAAACAGAGGAUCUACUAUGAAAGAGAAAGGUGAAGGGAAUUCCAGGCUGAUGGUAAAUGCAAAUUCCAGGAUGAGAGUUGGGCAGCAGGCCUAGAGUGCACUCCGUCCUGGGAGGAGCCAGAUGAUAGAGGGCUCUAGGAGAGAAGGCUCCAAGGGAAAAUGAAACAAGAGGAGGAGAAGAAACAGGCUUACGCUGAGCGAAUCCAAUGUGCAGACAGACACACAGGGAAGGUGACCAUUUGAAGACGGAGGCAGAAACUGAAGUUGUGCAACUGCAAACCAAGAAAUGCCAUGGAUUGCCAACAACCACCAGGAACUAGAAGAGGCAAGGUAAGGUUCAGCAAAGUCUAUGUCAUUCUCUAAUCCUUUUGAUCCAGCGGAUUCUUUGGAGGAAUUUGAAUACAUAUUGGAUUUUGCAUCCAGGUUUGCAAGAGGAAAAUACAAAGGUGACUUCUGGGCCUGCUGGAGGUGGAGGGUAGAGGAUGGACAGCUGACAUCUAGUCACAGAGGAAAGAACACAGAAAGAGAUCUCCAGUUAAAGCUGAUAGAUUGAACCACAGACAACCCACCUCCUUCUAAAAUCCCUCUAGAACAAUGGUUUAAAAAAAGUGCUUUAACAUAAAACUUCAAAAUCAAAAAGAUAAGGAAAAUGAUGAAAACCACUCAGAUAAGAAGAGAGGAUAUUUAUGCAGAGGCUGCUGUCGUUGGGAGUCCGCCACCAUACCACUAUACUUUGGUGAGACUUGAAGGCAGGCAGGGAGUGGAAACACUUUAUGCUGUAGUGAAAAAAGGGGAAGGCUUCGGUAUGCUCUGACUGGAGAUCAUUGUCAUGGGGAAACUGCAGGUGGGCUAACUAGAGGCUGGGCUUCUUGUGUAAUGGUUUGGCUUUCUCUGGUUGGUCCUGUGUUGAAAAUAGGGGCAAAAUAUAGGGAAGCUGACUCAUUGACCAAGCCCUGCCCAGGCUGGCCAAUUGCAGAGGUUGUGGGUCAGAGUUCUAUUGUCAUAUAUGGUCUGGCUACUGUCUGUUUAUAUAAUCCGUCUCUCAGAGAACAGUAGAGGAGAUCAAAUUAUUAACAUUUUGGAAGCUGGAAAGCAGGAGGAUAGUGUGAGCUGAAUUAGCAGACUUGCCAUCUAUCAAAGGGGAUAGCCAAAAGCAAGCCAGAUUUGCCCCAGAGAACCACCAAAGGUUCAAGAAUUGGCAGCACCAGGUACCCCCAGAAGCAGGGAUAAAGUGGGGGCUGAAAUUGGACAGUUGGUUCAAAGUCUAUUUCAGAAGCAUUAGACCACUGGAUUUCUUCCCCAGCUCCCAAAUGACUGCCUGGUGCAAAAGACUCAGGAUUGAUUCCCUGGAGAGGGUAGGUAGUUCUUUGUCUAGUUAAGGAUGGGAUGCCAUAACAAACAUGCCAAUUCAGUGAAAGUACCUACUUUCAAGACUCCUGCUUAACUCCCCUAAAUCAGCAGCCAAUGUUAGAAGCCAAGUGUUAAAGUUUUUCAGAUAAUUUUGCUAUAAGCCUAUGGAGAAAUUUCAUUACCAUCUCAUAGCAAGGCCUAUAGUAUAAGAGCAGGCCUAUAGUAGCAUAUGGGGGAAAGUCUAAAAGACUUUGAAAUGGACCAAAAGAUUAUUGAGAAAUGGAAAACUGCAUUGUUUUAAGUAUCCCUUUCCAACUUAUCAGAUUCUGUGGGGUUUAUACCUUUCAUUGUCUUUGAGGUAUUUAACAAUUCUAAAGAGAUAGACUCUAACUUGUAGAAAACUAAGAGUAACAUAAAUAAUUAUCGUCUUUAGAUAUACAAAUAAAUUCUGUUCUGAGAA
rnacentral:lncRNA from 1 species